rnacentral:rRNA from 1 species
UACAGAGGGCCCAAGCGUUGUUCGGAUUUAUUGGGCGUAAAGGGUGCGUAGGCGGCGGAGUAAGUUGGGUGUGAAAUCCCGGGGCUCAACCUCGGAAUUGCAUUCAAUACUGCUUCGCUCGAGUACUGGAGAGGAGACUGGAAUUUACGGUGUAGCAGUGAAAUGCGUAGAUAUCUGGAGGAACACCGGUGGCGAAGGCGGCGUCCUGGACCAACACUGACACUGAGGAGCGAAAGCCAGGGGAGCAAACGGG